AGUGAACGCUGGCGGCAGGCCUAACACAUGCAAGUCGAACGGCAGCACAGAGGAGCUUGCUCCUUGGGUGGCGAGUGGCGGACGGGUGAGGAAUACAUCGGAAUCUGCCUUAUCGUGGGGGAUAACGUAGGGAAACUUACGCUAAUACCGCAUACGACCUACGGGUGAAAGCGGAGGACCUUCGGGCUUCGCGCGAUAAGAUGAGCGGAUGUCGGAUUAGCUAGUUGGCGGGGUAAAGGCCCACCAAGGCGACGAUCCGUAGCUGGUCUGAGAGGAUGAUCAGCCACACUGGAACUGAGACACGGUCCAGACUCCUACGGGAGGCAGCAGUGGGGAAUAUUGGACAAUGGGCGCAAGCCUGAUCCAGCCAUGCCGCGUGGGUGAAGAAGGCCUUCGGGUUGUAAAGCCCUUUUGUCCGGAAAGAAAAGCACUGGGUUAAUACCUCGGUGUUCUGACGGUACCGGAAGAAUAAGCACCGGCUAACUUCGUGCCAGCAGCCGCGGUAACAC
rnacentral:rRNA from 1 species